AGGACUAUACUUUCAGGGGUCAUUUUUGUAGUUGGUCACUAGAGGAGAGUGAUUGCACCUGCACGGUGUCACAAGCCACGAGGAGGAGCAGGGUGUUCUCUCCUGGGCACGAAGCGGGCGGGCAGUGCUGCCUGGGCAGCAGCCACCCGCCAUUGAUGACCGUUCCUGCCCCUCCAGGGGCUGGGAGACAGAGAGCAUGGGCUGAGUGGU